UACGUAGGUGGCAAGCGUUGUCCGGAGUUAUUGGGCGUAAAGCGCGCGCAGGCGGUUGGAUAAGUCCAUGGUGAAAGCGCCUGGCUCAACUAGGCGAGUGCCGAUGGGGACUGGUUCAGCUGGAGUGGAGCAGAGGCGAGUGGAAUUCCGGGUGUAGUGGUGAAAUGCGUAGAGAUCCGGAGGAACACCAGAGGCGAAGGCGGACUCGCUGGGCUUUGACUGACGCUGAGGCGCGAAAGCGUGGGGAGCGAACCGG
rnacentral:rRNA from 1 species